rnacentral:rRNA from 1 species
CGUCUAUAUACGUAUAGCAUAUCAAUAAGCGGAGGAAAAGAAACUAACAAGGAUUCCCCUAGUAACGGCGAGUGAAGCGGGAAGAGCUCAAAUUUGAAAUCUUAAAGGGUUUCCCUUUACGAAUUGUAGUUUAAAGAAGUGUUUUCUGUUGGAGUUUCGGUAAAAGUUCUUUGGAAUAGGACAUCAUAGAGGGUGAGAAUCCCGUAUUUGACCGUUACUUUCCAGCUUUGUGAUACACUUUCAAAGAGUCGGAUUGUUUGGGAAUGCAGUCCAAAAUGGGUGGUAAAUUUCAUCUAAAGCUAAAUAUUGGCGAGAGACCGAUAGCGAACAAGUACCGUGAGGGAAAGAUGAAAAGAACUUUGAAAAGAGAGUUAAACAGUACGUGAAAUUGUCAAAAGGGAAGCGUUUGACACCAGUGUUGUUUUCUCGAAAAUCAAUUCAUGAUGGCUUGAUGCUAGGUUGUUAAGACUUUAUCAGCUUACUGUCUAGUUUUCUUGUCUUUGUGAAUGCACUUUUCGUUUAACAAGUCAACAUCAAUUUCUUUUGCUGUAAAAGGGUAAUAGGAAGGUGGCUUCAUCUUCGGUAGAAAGUGUUUAUAGCCUUUGAUCCUCUGCAAUCGGAGAGAUUGAGGUCUGCAGCGUAGACUCUUCGGGGUUAGAUACAUUUGUGCUAAGUUAUAGCUUCUCAUAGACAACUUGUUGACUAUAUUUAGUCUUGUAGCUUACUCGCUUAUGCUAUUUUACCUACGCUUAGGAUGUUGACACACGCGCGUGCUCG